UGGGUUGUGGCUCAGUGGUAGAGCGCUUGCCUAGCAUGCAUGUGAAGCACUGAGUUCAAUCCUAGCACCACAU
rnacentral:tRNA from 1 species